GAGCCGUUUCGUGGAUCGAGCUGGGGAUCUGGCGACGGAAUCAUAUCUUUUCUCCAAGAUCUACAACUCCUCGGACUUGUACCAAAACAAUAUCUCUUGUCUGGUUAAAGAAAAGGGAUAGUAGAUCGUUGUGGAAGAAGAACAGUAUGAUUCGUUGAGAACUUUCUUCCCUCUCCUCAGAUCUGGCAAUGCAUUCUUCCUGGGGUCGGGCUUAACUCGUGAAGGUAUAUGCAUGAGUGUUAAAUUGAUUAUGAUGGCUGAACUGUACAGUGCUCUAAUGGGUCCCUAUGCAGUUGCAGUUAAUGCCGAUGGACAGGUACAAAUUGUUCAAGAAUAAGCUACAGGUCGUGUAUAGCCAGGAAAAACUAUUUUACAAUUAUGUUGCACACAUCCCGAGACAGUGCAGCAGCGGACAUGAUUUCGAUGGGUGGAGUCGCCGAGUGCUCUAGGUUACUCCCGACCGUGGUCUCAGGAAAAGAGAAGAAGAAAAAUCGCACCUCGGGCUGGCUCGGUCGGAAAAACGUCGAGAAAAAAGGAGAGAAGAAAAAAGAAUUGCGGCUCGGGCACGCAGGAUUUGUCCCCCCUCGCGUCGCAUCUCCCCCAACCCUCUCGCUCCGCCGCCGACCGCCCGCACGCCGCUCCUCCGCCGCGCGCGCUCUCCUCCUGCGUCGCCUCCCACGCCGUCCCGUCGGAUGCCGCGCGCGCUCCCCUCCGCCGCGCGUGCCCGACCCCUCCUCCUCCGCCGCCGCCGCGGCCUCGUUCUUCCAGGCCCGGUAGGAGCCCGUGAGGCUACCGUAGCGCAAGCCCAGGCAGCAACCCGGCCCAGCUCACCCGUCUUCAUCAGCAGGGGUUGUCCGGCCGCCACCGCGCGUCGCCGGUCGUGUCACCGCCGCCACUUCCGCUGCUUAUGAGAGCCCUCACUGCCGCCACAAUCUCCUCCCCGAUACGCGCCCUCCUCCUCCACCACCCCUCCUUCCGCUCAACCCUCCGCCUCCCUCUCACCAUGAACCCCUCCUCCUCCUCUGGCUACCGCUCCAAUGCUGCCGCCUUUGCCUCCACGCACCAGCUGCGUGGCGGCCGUGGCGGUGGCAGGCGACCGGGUGGACGUGGCGAUGGCGGUGGCGACGGCGGAAACCGCAUCGACGCCCUCGGCCGCCUCCUGACGAGGGUCUUGCGGCACAUGGCGCCGGAGCUGAGGCUGAACAUGAGGAGCGACGGGUAUGUGCGGGUCCGCGACCUGCUCCGCCUCAACCUGGAGACCUUCGCCAAGGUUCCGCUCAACUCCCACACGGUGGAUGAAAUCAGGGAGGCGGUCAGGCGAGACAACAAGCAGAGGUUUGGUCUGUUGGAGGAGGAUGGCGAGCUGCUGAUUCGAGCUAACCAGGGGCACACUGUGACAACUGUUACAUCAGAGAGCUUGUUGAAACCAAUUCUAUCGGCUGAUGAAGUCUCAGUCUGUGUCCAUGGAACUUACAGGAAAAAUGUUGAUUCAAUAUUGAAAUAUGGGCUUAAACGUAUGGCAAGACUACAUGUACAUUUCUCAAGUGGUUUACCAUCAGAUGGAGGUGUUAUUAGUGGUAUGCGGAGUGGCGCAAACAUAUUGAUAUAUUUGAAUGUCAGAAAGGCACUCCAAGACGGGAUGAAGCUAUACAUCUCAGACAACAAGGUGAUACUGACGGAGGGCUUCGACGGCGUUGUCCCCGUCAAGUACUUCGAGAAGAUCGAAACAUGGCCAGGACGUGCACCGAUACCGUUCCAGAGGUAGAAGAGACCUUACCGUAGCACUGGAGUCCCGCACGGCCUCCCGCUCAGCGAAAACUUGGAAUGAAUGCGCUGCACGACAGGAUUCUCCUUGCCGAAAAGGAAAUCAACCGUGUUGUAAUAUCUGAAAGAGUUUCGUCAUGUAACCCUGGUAUAUCCGUAUAUGAGAGGGAGCAUUAUUCUGCUGCUGGUUGUGCAAAACCUGUGUAUGAUGAUGAUUUCCAGAUGUUAUGGAGUAGCAAAUUUUGUUUAUGAUGUGUAGAUCUGCGAAGUUUCAUUCAAAAAUAUGUAAAUUUUGCAUGCAUUCCACGGCGGUUUCAAAAAAAUAUGUAGAAUUUGCG
rnacentral:rRNA from 1 species